rnacentral:rRNA from 1 species
CUGACACAGGGAGGUAGUGACAAUAAAUAACAAUGCCGGGCUCUUUCGAGUCUGGCAAUUGGAAUGAGAACAAUUUAAAUCCCUUAUCGAGGAUCAAUUGGAGGGCAAGUCUGGUGCCAGCAGCCGCGGUAAUUCCAGCUCCAAUAGCGUAUAUUAAAGUUGUUGCAGUUAAAAAGCUCGUAGUUGGAUUUCUGGUGGGCGCGACCGGUCCGCCCCGAGAGGGGUGAGCACUGGCGUCGCCGUCCGCCAUCCUUGGGGAGAGUGGCGCUGGCAUUCAGUUGUCGGCGUCAGGAUCCCCAUCGUUUACUGUGAGAAAAUUAGAGUGUUCAAAGCAGGCUUACGCCUUGAAUACAUUAGCAUGGAAUAAUAGUCGAGGCUCUUGGUCUGACUUUGUUGGUUUGCAGCCCGAGAGAAUGAUUCAAUAGGGAUAGUUGGGGGUAUUCGUAUUCAAUUGUCAGAGGUGAAAUUCUUGGAUUUAUGGAAGACGAACUACUGCG